rnacentral:lncRNA from 1 species
UCAGUUCAUCUCCUGGAAUCUCUGGUCCAGGAGGUCCUCUCGAUUGCGGGCCUCGAGGGUCUUCUGGUGGAGUGGAGGCAGGGACUCUCCGGGGGUUGAAUCAUGAUCGGACAGAGGACUCUCCGCCUUCUGUUUCUCUCUUCUAGGAAAGACAGGGUGGCUGGCCCAUGUGGCCCGUCCGAUCGUCAGAUUCUAGAACUCCGGCGAUGC